rnacentral:misc_RNA from 1 species
GAUGGAAGAACGUAGCGAAAUGCGAUAAGUAGUGUGAAUUGCAGAAUUCAGUGAAUCAUCGAAUCUUUGAACGCACAUUGCGCCCCAUGGUAUUCCGUGGGGCAUGCCUGUUCGAGCGUCAUUUACCCCCUCAAGCUCGGCUUGGUGUUGGGCGUCUGUCCCGCUUCGCGCGCGGACUCGCCCCAAAGGUAUUGGCAGCGGUCGUGCCAGCUUCUCGCGCAGCACAUUGCGCUUCUCGAGGCACCGGCGGGCCCGCGUCCAUCAAGCUCACCCCCCAGUUUGACCUCGGAUCAGGUAGGGAUACCCGCUGAACUUAAGCAUAUCAAUAAGCGGAGGA